AGUGAACGCUGGCGGUAGGCCUAACACAUGCAAGUCGAACGGCAGCACAGUAAGAGCUUGCUCUUACGGGUGGCGAGUGGCGGACGGGUGAGGAAUAAAUCGGAAUCUACUUUUUCGUGGGGGAUAACGUAGGGAAACUUACGCUAAUACCGCAUACGACCUACGGGUGAAAGCAGGGGAUCUUCGGACCUUGCGCGAUUGAAUGAGCCGAUGUCGGAUUAGCUAGUUGGCGGGGUAAAGGCCCACCAAGGCGACGAUCCGUAGCUGGUCUGAGAGGCUGAUCAGCCACACUGGAACUUAGACACGGUCCAGACUCCUACGGGAGGCAGCAGUGGGGAAUAUUGGACAAUGGGCGCAAGCCUGAUCCAGCCAUACCGCGUGGGUGAAGAAGGCCUUCGGGUUGUAAAGCCCUUUUGUUGGGAAAGAAAAGCAGCAGGUUAAUACCCCGCUGUUCUGACGGUACCCAAAGAAUAAGCACCGGCUAACUUCGUG
rnacentral:rRNA from 1 species